rnacentral:rRNA from 1 species
CUCAAUUUGAAAUCUGGCUCUUUUAGAGUCCGAGUUGUAAUUUGCAGAGGGCGCUUUGGCUUUGGCAGCGGUCCAAGUUCCUUGGAACAGGACGUCACAGAGGGUGAGAAUCCCGUACGUGGUCGCUAGCUAUUGCCGUGUAAAGCCCCUUCGACGAGUCGAGUUGUUUGGGAAUGCAGCUCUAAAUGGGAGGUAAAUUUCUUCUAAAGCUAAAUAUUGGCCAGAGACCGAUAGCGCACAAGUAGAGUGAUCGAAAGAUGAAAAGCACUUUGGAAAGAGAGUCAAACAGCACGUGAAAUUGUUGAAAGGGAAGCGCUUGCAGCCAGACUUGCUUGCAGUUGCUCAUCCGGGCUUUUGCCCGGUGCACUCUUCUGCAGGCAGGCCAGCAUCAGUUUGGGCGGUGGGAUAAAGGUCUCUGUCACGUACCUCCUUUCGGGGAGGCCUUAUAGGGGAGGCGACAUACCACCAGCCUGGACUGAGGUCCGCGCAUUCGCUAGGAUGCUGGCGUAAUGGCUGUAAGCGGCCCGUCUUGAAACACGGACCAAGGAGUCUAACAUCUAUGCGAGUGUUUGGGUGUCAAGCCCGAACGCGUAAUGAAAGUGAACGGAGGUGGGAACCCGCAAGGGUGCACCAUCGACCGAUCCUGAUGUCUUCGGAAGGAUUUGAGUAAGAGCAUGGCUGUUGGGACCCGAAAGAUGGUGAACUAUGCUUGAAUAGGGUGAAGCCAGAGGAAACUCUGGUGGAGGCUCGCAGCGGUUCUGACGUGCAAAUCGAUCGUCAAAUUUGGGCAUAGGGGCGAAAGACUAAUCGAACUAUCUAGUAGCUGGUUCCUGCCGAAGUU